rnacentral:rRNA from 1 species
AGAGUUUGAUCCUGGCUCAGAGCGAACGCUGGCGGCAGGCCUAACACAUGCAAGUCGAGCGCCGUAGCAAUACGGAGCGGCAGACGGGAGAGUAACACGUGGGAACGUACCCUUCAGUUCGGAACAACCCAGGGAAACUUGGGCUAAUACCGGAUACGUCCGUAAGGAGAAAGAUUUAUCGCUGAAGGAUCGGCCCGCGUCUGAUUAGCUAGUUGGUGAGGUAACGGCCCACCAAGGCUACGAUCAGUAGCUGGUCUGAGAGGAUGAUCAGCCUCACUGGGACUGAGACACGGCCCAGACUCCUACGGGAGGCAGCAGUGGGGAAUAUUGGACAAUGGGCGCAAGCCUGAUCCAGCCAUGCCGCGUGGGUGAUGAAGGCCCUAGGGUUGUAAAGCCUUUUCGGCGGGGAAGAUAAUGACGGUACCCGCAGAAGAAGCCCCGGCUAACUUCGUGCCAGCAGCCGCGGUAAUACGAAGGGGGCUAGCGUUGCUCGGAAUCACUGGGCGUAAAGCGCACGUAGGCGGCUUUUUAAGUCAGGGGUGAAAUCCUGGAGCUCAACUCCAGAACUGCCUUUGAUACUGAGGAGCUUGAGUCCGGGAGAGGUGAGUGGAACUGCGAGUGUAGAGGUGAAAUUCGUAGAUAUUCGCAAGAACACCAGUGGCGAAGGCGGCUCACUGGCCCGGUACUGACGCUGAGGUGCGAAAGCGUGGGGAGCAAACAGGAUUAGAUACCCCCGUAGUCC